rnacentral:rRNA from 1 species
UGCUGGAGGUAUCAGAAGUGCGAAUGCUGACAUGAGUAACGACAAAGGGAGUGAAAAACUCCCUCGCCGGAAGACCAAGGGUUCCUGUCCAACGUUAAUCGGGGCAGGGUGAGUCGACCCCUAAGGCGAGGCCGAAAGGCGUAGUCGAUGGGAAACGGGUUAAUAUUCCCGUACUUCUUACUAUUGCGAUGGGGGGACGGAGAAGGCUAGGUGAGCCUGGCGACGGUUGUCCAGGUCCAAGUACGUAGGUGGAUGAAUUAGGCAAAUCCGGUUCAUCAUUAACACUGAGAUACGAUGUCGAGCUACUACGGUAGCGAAGUCAUUGAUGCCAUGCUUCCGGGAAAAGCCUCUAAGCUUCAGAUAGUAAGAAAUCGUACCCCAAACCGACACAGGUGGUCGGGUAGAGAAUACCAAGGCGCUUGAGAGAACUCGGGUGAAGGAACUAGGCAAAAUGGUACCGUAACUUCGGGAGAAGGUACGCUCUUAACGGUGAAGUCCCUCGCGGAUGGAGCUGUCGAGAGUCGCAGAUACCAGGUGGCUGCAACUGUUUAUUAAAAACACAGCACUGUGCAAAAUCGAAAGAUGACGUAUACGGUGUGACGCCUGCCCGGUGCCGGAAGGUUAAUUGAUGGGGUUAGACGUAAGUCGAAGCUCUUGAUCGAAGCCCCGGUAAACGGCGGCCGUAACUAUAACGGUCCUAAGGUAGCGAAAUUCCUUGUCGGGUAAGUUCCGACCUGCACGAAUGGCGUAAUGAUGGCCACGCUGUCUCCACCCGAGACUCAGUGAAAUUGAAAUCGCUGUGAAGAUGCAGCGUACCCGCGGCUAGACGGAAAGACCCCGUGAACCUUUACUACAGCUUGGCACUGAACAUUGACCCUACAUGUGUAGGAUAGGUGGGAGACUUUGAAACGCAGACGCCAGUUUGCGUGGAGUCGUCCUUGAAAUACCACCCUUGUAGUGUUGAUGUUCUAACUUGGCCCCAU